rnacentral:lncRNA from 1 species
UGAUAGAUCAGUUUAAAAGGAUCUUGCCAUUUUUUCCAUUUAGACACUUUUCCUUUUUUUUUUCUUUCCAUUUUUUUCGUUGCCAUUUUUUCCUGACACCAGUUGGGGCAGUUUGGCCAUAGGGCAGUAUUACAUCUGUUUUGAGGUACCUGUAAAAGAAGGACAGUUAUAAGCAUCCUAUCUUCCCAACAUUUUUUACAAAUUAUCAAUUGCGAAAACGGCAAUCCGUACAGAACGCAUCAAAAGUGAGCAGCUGUCUUACCUCUUCUUUAGAGCCUUGUCAAGGGUCUCCCUUCUUUUGACUCAAAGAUGAAAUCAGAGUCGUUGAAAUGCAGGGAACACAGCCUUGUACUUUUGAAUGGUGCUUAAUCUGUCUCCUUCAGAUCUGCUUCUCUUGGAAUGGCUCUCAGCCAGGCGGUCUCAAGUUCGGGGGUUCUCUCUUUCUUUGGCCACAGAUGGAUCGUAACACCAGACUGUUGUUGCUUUUAGUGGGCAUGAUUGGAAUUACAAAACACAAUAUAGAUGGCGUCCACAAAACCCAUGGGCCAUGUUGCAAGAGUAUUUGAAUUCAUGUUUGCGCGUGCCCGGUCCUGCUUACAGGAGUCCUUGAUACUGCCUAUGUAAAUGCUAUAGACAAGAGCUUUUCUAUAUUUAAUUUAUUUGACCAGUGCCCUAGGUGAUUGUGCCAUCUAGCUUUGUAAUUAUUUUUUUAAAGUUUGUUCAUCCCCCCCUCCUGAUUCACCCUCCCAUGAUUAUUGGUUUGUGGAUGUCAGUUUUUGCCAUAAAACACCAUUAAGGCUAAUUAUACCAGCAUCAAAUACAUAACUUCGAACAAAUAAUUCAUAUAUUUUUAUUUUAUAAAAUUAUUGUUAUUAAAUAAUUUUUACACGCCGUAUGAAAUGCACUCGUACCCUGUACUUGGGCUGCCUGUAAAGAAUCCCAAAACUAUAUAAUUGUAAUAAAUAUUUUGUACUCGUAGCUUUUUUUGAUGUUUGAGAAAAUAAUGUUGCAACGGUCUACAAGCUUUCCUUACAAAUAUGAAGAUUCUUGAGGAGUAUUACAAAAAAUAAAUUGUUUAUAAUAAGUUUAAACGAAUUAUGAUACUAAUAGUUAAUAAUUAGGUUUUACUUUUUUGAGAUUCAUAUUGAUAAAAAUUAUAAUAUAUAAUAAUAAUAAGGA